ACAAUAAUGGGUAAAAAAGCCACUUGUCGUUAUAUGGAGUGAAAACUUUGAAUAUUUUGCCACGAAUUAUAUAUCAUUAAUUUGUAGAAAGAAUCAUGAACCCUCGAAGAAACAUGGAAAGCGGCAAUUAGAGAGCGUUUUUUUCAUCCGGGAUCUGGAACAGGAAGAUAUGGAGUAAGAGACACGGACAAUGAAAAAUUCAACGUAAAAGUAUCCCAAUUAGCAGUUUAUUCAUAAGUAAUCAUCUAAUAAAAUGAUGUUCAUUAGACUA
rnacentral:lncRNA from 1 species